rnacentral:rRNA from 1 species
GAUGAACGCUAGCGGCAGGCUUAACACAUGCAAGUCAAGGGGUAGAGGCUUUCGGGCCUUGAGACCGGCGCACGGGUGCGUAACGCGUAUGCAAUCUGCCUUUCACAGAGGGAUAGCCCAGAGAAAUUUGGAUUAAUACCUCAUAGCAUAACACAACCGCAUGGUUGAGUUAUUAAAGUCACAACGGUGAAAGAUGAGCAUGCGUCCCGUUAGUUAGUUGGUAGGUAACGGCUUACCAAGACUUCGAUGGGUAGGGGUCCUGAGAGGGAGAUCCCCCACACUGGUACUGAGACACGGACCAGACUCCUACGGGAGGCAGCAGUGAGGAAUAUUGGUCAAUGGGCGCAAGCCUGAACCAGCCAUGCCGCGUGCAGGAUGACGGUCCUAUGGAUUGUAAACUGCUUUUGUACGAGAAGAAACACUCCUUCGUGAAGGAGCUUGACGGUAUCGUAAGAAUAAGGAUCGGCUAACUCCGUGCCAGCCGCCGCGGUAA